ACAAUAAUCAGAGUCACUGUUCCAAGUCAGUUUCUCAUUCUGUUUUCCAGCUAAAGUCUGUGUUCUUUGAACACAAAAUAUAAACAUGCACCGGGUGCAAGUUGAUAUACAUAAGAGGUUGCAUUUAGCAGCAUCCUGCCAAAGACCC